CGUGCUUAACACAUGCAAGUCGAACGGUAAGGCUCCAGCUUGCUGGGGUACACGAGUGGCGAACGGGUGAGUAACACGUGGGUGACCUGCCCUGCACUUCGGGAUAAGCCUGGGAAACUGGGUCUAAUACCGGAUAGGACCGCACCGUGAGGGUGUGGUGGAAAGUUUUUUCGGUGUGGGAUGGGCCCGCGGCCUAUCAGCUUGUUGGUGGGGUAAUGGCCUACCAAGGCGGCGACGGGUAGCCGGCCUGAGAGGGUGGACGGCCACAUUGGGACUGAGACACGGCCCAGACUCCUACGGGAGGCAGCAGUGGGGAAUAUUGCACAAUGGGCGGAAGCCUGAUGCAGCGACGCCGCGUGGGGGAUGACGGCCUUCGGGUUGUAAACUCCUUUCACCAUCGACGAAGGGUUUCUGACGGUAGAUGGAGAAGAAGCACCGGCUAACUACGUGCCAGCAGCCGCGGUAAUACGUAGGGUGCGAGCGUUGUCCGGAAUUACUGGGCGUAAAGAGCUCGUAGGUGGUUUGUCGCGUCGUCUGUGAAAUUCCGGGGCUUAACUCCGGGCGUGCAGGCGAUACGGGCAUAACUUGAGUACUGUAGGGGAGACUGGAAUUCCUGGUGUAGCGGUGAAAUGCGCAGAUAUCAGGAGGAACACCGGUGGCGAAGGCGGGUCUCUGGGCAGUAACUGACGCUGAGGAGCGAAAGCAUGGGGAGCGAACAGGAUUAGAUACCCURGUAGUCC
rnacentral:rRNA from 1 species